GUCAGCGGCAUGUUCAGGCUCCCCAAGGAGAAAAAAAGUAAGUCACUUUACAUAUGAACACAAUGAAAUUCUGUCUAAUUCUACACUGAUCUGUGUCAGGAUUGCAGGCUACCUGCUUCCAUUUUUACCAUUUUACCUGCAACAACUUUAUAAAGUCUAACUUAGUUAUAAUGUUAUAUUUGUAGUGUUUUAGCUCUAGCUCGUGUUUAUUCACUUUAAGUUGGAAAGUUAUUGUACAAAAAAAAUCAUGUGUUAUCAGAGAUUAAGGAAGCAUGUUCAAUUGAAUACUGCCUUGAAGAAUUGAAUACCGCCUUGAAGUAAUAUUAUUUUCAUAAAUAUUGGUUUCCUAUUUCAGGUAUGUGUUUCUGCUGUUACCCUAAGUGAUCCUGCACGCAUGUCCUGUGGUCCUGCACUCGACUCCCAUCAUCCUGGUCCUGCACUCGACUCACUUAAUCCUGAUCCUGCACUCGUCUCCUUUGGUCCUGCACUGAACUCACAUGGUCCUGAUCCUGAUCCUGCACUCGACCGACAUGAUCCUGCACUCGUCUCCUGUGGUCCUGCACUGAACUCACAUGGUCCUGAUCCUGAUCCUGCACUCGACCGACAUGAUCCUGCACUCGUCUCCUGUGGUCCUGCACUGAACUCACAUGGUCCUGAUCCUGAUCCUGCACUCGACCGACAUGAUCCUGCACUCGUCUCCUGUGGUCCUGCACUGAACUCACAUGGUCCUGAUCCUGAUCCUGCACUCGACCGACAUGAUCCUGCACUCGUCUCCUGUGGUCCUGCACUGAACUCACAUGGUCCUGAUCCCACACGCGUCCCCUGUGAUCCUGCACUUGUGUCGCCUGAUACUGAUUCUGCACUCAUUAGUACUAUAUCGGUCUGUGAAGAACCUCCACUCUCAUUCAUACCACCAGUCCACCAAACCUCAACAAACACUUCCUGUGCAUAUGGGCAGGUACGGCAAACUGCUACUGUCGAGGAUACAAGAAAACAGCAUGAGUUGCUUCUUCUUGCUUUAAAACUCAAGCAUGGACUGACUGAUGAAGCUUUAGAAGACACACUUAAAGUUGUUAACGUUAUAAGUCAGAGGCAUUAUGUGUCAUCUACCAAACAUCACUUUUACAAAACUUUUGAUGACUUGAAAAGAAAUAUUCAGUUUCACUACAUAUGUGAGGGAUGCACAAUUUCUGUAAACAUUGAGGGAGAAAAAGUGGUUUGUCCUAACUGUCAAUAUUCUUGUAGAAUAGCCGAUCAUAUGAAACAGGGGCACUUCUUUAUUGUUUUUCCACUAGAAUCACAAUUAAGGAAUAUGAUGGAACAAGAGGAACUCUUCAGCCAGUUGACUAGGCCUAACAGUGCUGCUCACUCUAGUCCACUGACAGAUAUCACCGAUGGUGAGCUUUACAAGAGGGUUAACAGAAAUAUUGAGGGCCAAUCUGAGCAUCACGUCAAUCUCACACUAACCUUUAGCUGUGACGGGGUACCUGUGUUUAAGAAAUCUUCUUACAGUAUUUGGCCACUUCUCUAUACAGUCAAUGAAUUACCACCUGAUUUGAGAGCAAAACAAGUGAUGUUGGCAGCCUUAUGGUUUGGUCCAUCAAAGCCAAACUGUAACACAUACUUAUCACCAUUUGUGAAAGAAUGCAAUCAAUUGCUUACUCAUGGGUUUGAGUGGAUCAGUGUAAAUGGUAUUCAUGGCCGGUCCAAAGUAUUUCCCUUGGUUGCAGUAUGUGAUUCUGUUGCGAGACCGAUGAUUCAAAAUUUUAAGCAAUUCAAUGGAGAAUUUGGAUGUUCUUACUGUUUACAAAAAGGUACAGUCGUUGAGAAGGGUCAAGGUCAUGUACGGGUCUAUCCUUUUGAGUCUGAUACUGAAAGCAGAAAUCAUGGUAGCAGCCUAGAUUUUGCUCGAGAGGCUAUAGAAAACCGCACUACUGUGAAAGGAGUGAAAGGACCGUCUAUUUUGUCCUUGAUCCCAUCAGUUGACCUGAUACAAGGUUGCGUACCUGACUACAUGCACGCCUGUCUUCUUGGUGUUGCAAGAUCUAUGACUUAUAUGUGGGUUGGAAGUGACAAUCAUGAAAAUCCAUGGUAUGUAGGAAGAUGUAUCCAAGUGAUUGAUCAAAAACUUCACCUUAUUCAACCACCCUCCUGUGUCUCCAGAGUGCCUAGAUCACUGCGAGAGAGAAACUAUUGGAAGGCGCAUGAGUGGUACAUGUGGCUUUUCUACUAUAGCAUCCCAGUGCUUAAAGGGAUCUUACCAGAGUGCUAUCUAAUCCACUGGACACGGUUUGUGAAGGCUUUGGCAUUGCUCUUAACUGAAAGUGUCACCUUGCAACAAAUUCAGGAAGCAGAUAUCAUGCUUAGGAGAUUUGUGAUGGAAAUGGGGGAUCUCUAUGGUAUACAAAACAUGUCCUAUAAUGUCCAUCUCUCUCUUCACCUUGCACAAAGUGUGCGAAACUGGGGUCCUUUAUGGGCUCAUUCAGCUUUCACAUUUGAGUCAUAUAAUCACAGCCUGCUCAAAAUGAUCAAGAGCACACAAGGGGUCCCUUUGCAGAUUGCCAAAACAUUUCAGUUACAAAAGGGUCUGCCCUUAUAUGCCAAGAAAACACUGUCAAAUGCAUCCUCUGAAUGCAUUUCAGCCUUUGAAGACUUAGUCCGUCCUACACACACCCAGAGUGCAAUAAGAUGUAAAGAGGUCAUUGCACUUGGAGGCAGACAUGAGAAAGUAAGACUUGAGCAAGAUGACUACCUUGCCCUCCACAAUGUAGCUAAUCACAUAGAGAGAGAACUUCUUGUCAGUUACCGUGACAGGGCAGUAAUUAAUGGUGAAGUUACGCACUCUAAAAGACAUUCGAGAGAGAGAAAGAGAAACUCGCAUGUUGUAGUCCUCACAGAUAACAGUAUUUUCAGUGUUGAUAAGUUUGUUGUUGCAGACUUAGUAAGUGGGGAACACUGCUAUGCCAUAGGACAUUAUUUUGAAACAAAGCGACACAGUUUUUUUGCUUCAUUGUCGAACCCACACCACUUUGUUGCUGUUGGCAAAAAGUUGGGGCAUCUGACAGCUGUUCCAGCUGCAGUUAUUCAGAGAAAGUGUCUCUUUAUGAAUCUUCCAAACCUGAAGGUUAAUUAUGUUUUUAUGUUUUUGAAUCGUAAUGAGUUGACGAAUUGAUUAAAAAAACGAAAGGGGUCAUAGAAUGCAAAACAUUUUUACCCAUGCAGACCAAAUGGUGAAAACACAUUAUUCUUUAUAGAGUUUUCGCUUGUCAAUGAAAUGCUAAAUGAUAGUUAAAAAGAAUAUUGUCUAACUCUGAAUACCUUGACAUGAAUUGUUUGUACUUGUCAAAAUGUCAUGUAAUGAAAUGCCAGUUAAUAAUAGAAAUGUUGUAUUUACUUGUCUGAAUAGUUUGAAAAGAUGAUACUUAAUGUCUGAAUACCUCAAACGCCAAUAUUUAAAAUAAUCAAAAUGUACUGUUUUAUAUAUUAUAUCUGAAUGUCUAUAGUUGUAGAUAUUGUGUCUGUAUUGUGUGAAUACCAAAUAUAGUAUUUUUAGUACAAUAAUUCAGUGUUUUCUUUGUCAUUUUUGACAAAUACAUCCACAAAGUACCAUAACCAUAUGCCACCACUUUAAAAAUGCAUCAGUAUCACAUGCAUGUAUGUUUACAUACAUAUUUGUUUUCCACAUAUUUAAAAUGUAUGUAACAUAUUUAUACUUAAUGUUGUCCAUAUAUGCGAGAAACCAAUACUAUACUGUAAUAUAUGCAGAUAUAUGGUAUUAUAUAUGGAGGAACUCAAAUAUUUUCUUCACAUAUUUGGACACAUAAAUGUUCAUAUCUGUGGCAGGCUUAUAUUGUGUUCUCAGAUAAGUCAAAUAUAUGUAUAGAUAUAUGUUGAACAUAUAUAUUGUGUUCUCAUAUAAGUCAAAUGCAUGUAUACAUAUAUGUUGCAGGCAUAUAUUGUGUUCUCAGAUAAGUCAAAUAUAUGUAUACAUAUAUGUUGAACAUAUAUUGUGUUCUCAGAUAAGUGAAAUAUAUGUAUACAUAUAUGUUGCAGGCAUAUAUUGUGUUCUCAGAUAAGUCAAAUAUAUGUAUCGAUAUAUGUUGCAGCCAUAUAUUGUGUUCUCAGAUAAGUCAAAUAUAUGAAUACAUAUAUGUCAUGCUAUUUAAAAUAUAAGUACAUAUAUGGCCAUAUAUUACAUUUUUGUAUGGGUAAUGAAACAUCGUUUUCCAACUGUGAGAAUUUAUUAUAUAUAAUGGAU
ensembl:lncRNA